rnacentral:rRNA from 1 species
AUGUGCUACCCCAAAAUUGAAGGUGGUAUGGGGUUCAGGGAUUUGUACUCGUUUAACUUGGCAAUGCUCUCAAAACAGUGUCGCCUGAUUACUAACCCUAAGUCCCUUUGUGCUCGAGUGUUAAAGGCAAAAUACUACCCAAAUGUUGAUUUACUUCAUGCAACACUUAAAAACGGUGCUUCAUUCACAUGGCAGAGUGUGAUGAAGGGAUUGGAGACUUUCAAGUUGGGAUAUAUCUGGCGAAUUGGUACCGGAGAGAGUGUCAACAUUUGGCAGGAUCCAUGGAUACCUGCAAGUCCAGACCGAAAGGUAAUCUCAAGUCGGGGCCAAUCUAUCCUAACCUCAGUUAGCGAGCUACUGGAUCCUUAUACAGGAACAUGGGAUGAGGAGAUCAUCAGAUCUAUCUUUAAUCCGGUGGAUGUUCAGAGGUUAUUACAGAUCCCAGUCAACACUAAUUCCUUUGAUGAUUUCAUUGCAUGGCAUCCUGAACGUAACGACAUUUUUACUGUUCGAUCAGCGUACAAAGUGCAAUGGGAGCGAUCUUUUAGGGCGCAUGCAAAUAGGACAGGGCGUCCAGCGGGCUCUCAAACUCCGGAGAUUUGGAGGAAACUUUGGAAACUUAAGAUCCCACAUAAAGUUUCUAUCUUCUGUUGGCGGGCAUUGCAUGGAAUUAUCCCCCUAAAAUCUAUUCUCGCAAAUCGCCAUGUUGGAAGUGAAAGCGGGUGCCCAAUAUGCCAUGGAGGGCCUGAAGAUAUUAAACAUCUUCUAUUCGGCUGCAUGCAUGCGAAGGAAUUAUGGAGAAGUUUGGGAAUAUUAGAAAUUGUU